rnacentral:tRNA from 1 species
GGUUAUGGCUCAACGGUAGAGCACUCACCUAGCAUGUGCGAGGCCCUGGGUUCGAACCUCAGCACCA